UCAUACUAGCUGGGGAGUUAGCGGUGCCCUGUAUCCACAACCCGCUUUAGUGGAAGUGAUGCCAAACUUGAGGAGAACUUUAGUAUUCACGCCUUUGUAGUAAUAUGUUGAUAGAACAGUCCUAUAUUGUAGAAAUUCGAUGAACCGUGUCAGAUUGGGAACGAAGCAGCACUAAGUUGAUGUUUCUAGGUUUGUGGGGUUGCUGUUCUUGAGUAUUAUUGCAAUGAAACAAAUGGUGAAGUUUGUUCGAGAGUUUGGUGUAUGA
rnacentral:SRP_RNA from 1 species